rnacentral:rRNA from 1 species
CCCUUAGAUGUUCUGGGCCGCACGCGUGCUACACUGAGUGGAUCAGCGGGUCAGGUUGCGCGAAAGUGUUUCCUAAUCUUGAAAUCCGCUCGUGAUGGGGAUUGACGGUUGCAAUUUUCCGUCAUGAACGAGGAAUGCCUUGUAAGCGCGGGUCAUCAUCCCGCGCUGAAUACGUCCCUGCCCUUUGUACACACCGCCCAUCGCUCCUACCGAUUGAGUGGUCCGGUGAGGCUUUGGGAUCUGAGCGGAAAGAGCGUUUCGCUGUUUCUGCUCGGAAAACUCAGUCGAACCUUAUCAUUUAGAGGAAGGAGAAGUCGUAACA